rnacentral:rRNA from 1 species
UGGGGAAUAUUGGACAAUGGGCGCAAGCCUGAUCCAGCCAUGCCGCGUGUGUGAAGAAGGCCUUAGGGUUGUAAAGCACUUUCAGUGGGGAGGAAGGGUGUUGUGUUAAUAGCACGGCAUUUUGACGUUACCCACAGAAGAAGCACCGGCUAACUCCGUGCCAGCAGCCGCGGUAAUACGGAGGGUGCAAGCGUUAAUCGGAAUUACUGGGCGUAAAGCGCACGCAGGCGGCUUUUUAAGUCGAUGUGAAAGCCCCGUGCUCAACCUGGGAAUUGCAUCUGAUACUGGGAAGCUAGAGUAUGUGAGAGGGGGGUAGAAUUCCAAGUGUAGCGGUGAAAUGCGUAGAGAUUUGGAGGAAUACCAGUGGCGAAGGCGGCCCCCUGGCACAAUACUGACGCUCAGGUGCGAAAGCGUGGGGAGCAAAACAGGAUUAGAUACCCUGGUAGUCCACGCCGUAAACGAUGUCUACUAGAUGUUCGUGGUCUUGUACCGUGAGUAUCGCAGCUAACGCAUUAAGUAGACCGCCUGGGGAGUACGGUCGCAAGAUUAAAAACUCAAAGGAAUUGAC